UUUAUUCAAAUUGUCUGGUCUUUUGGCUUUUAUAUAUAUUUCUUUAACUUUAGUUUUUCUGUGUCGAUUCCAUCCUGUGUAGACUGCAAACGCUGGUUACGAUAAGUAUUGGAUGCAUUUUUUAGUGUUGGAGCUGGUUUAGUUUGCUGUAGUAAGUCCGUUUACGUUAUAUGGGGUAUUAUUAACAACUCAUGAUUGCAGUACCUCGACGAGAACAAGAAAUUGAUAUUGGCUAUUCUGGAUAAUCAAAAUCUAGGCAAACUCGUUGAAUGUGCCCAAUUCUUUGAAUUGAGAAAGUGAGUGAUUGGACCUGUGAAGCCAUGGCUCUGUCAUAUGGUGAACUUGAUCUAAACAAGGCGGCUGACACUUUGCAGCUGUAUAUUUCUCAACCCCAACUGGACUCAGCUUCAGGAGGUAUUCUUCACUCUGCGGUCGCGAGCAGCUCAACAGUUAUAUAGUUGAAGGAUAAGAUACAAGAUUAUAGAGCUUAUAGAGAGGUGCUGGUUUUAGAAGGCAACGGAAGCCCUAGUUUUUUUUUUUUUUGAGUUGGGCUCAAAACAUUAUGUAUGAAUGUUUUGUGAUAUAUAUAAUAUAUGUUAUUGAUGGUUUUAUCA